AGCGAACGUUAGCGGCACGCCUAACACAUGCAAGUCGCACGAGAAAGGGAGCAAUCCUGAGUAGAGUGGCGCACGGGUGCGUAACACGUAGAUAACCUGCCCUUUGGAGGGGGAUAACGUUCCGAAAGGAGCGCUAAUACCGCAUACAGCAAGAGCCGGUUUGCCGGUUUUUGGCAAAGGUAGGGACCCGCAAGGCCUACCGCCAGAGGAGGGGUCUGCGGCCCAUCAGCUAGUUGGUGAGGUAAUGGCUCACCAAGGCAGAGACGGGUAGCUGGUCUGAGGGGGAUGAUCAGCCACACUGGUACU
rnacentral:rRNA from 1 species